AUACGGAGGAUGCGAGCGUUAUCCGGAUUUAUUGGGUUUAAAGGGUGCGUAGGCGGCUUUGUAAGUCAGCGGUGAAAUCUUGCAGCUUAACUGUAACAGUGCCGUUGAUACUGUGAGGCUAGGAUUUGGUUGCUGUGGGUGGAAUGUGUGGUGUAGCGGUGAAAUGCUUAGAGAUCACACAGAAUAUCGAUUGCGAAGGCAGCUCACAAAGCCAAGAUUGACGCUGAGGCACGAAAGUGUGGGGAUCAAACAGGAUUAGAUACCCUGGUAGUCCACACUGUAAACGAUGAUAACUCGCUGUCGGCGAUAUACAGUCGGUGGCCAAGCGAAAGCGAUAAGUUAUCCACCUGGGGAGUACGACCGCAAGGUUGAA
rnacentral:rRNA from 1 species